rnacentral:rRNA from 1 species
UACGGAGGGGGCUAGCGUUGUUCGGAAUUACUGGGCGUAAAGCGCACGUAGGCGGCUUUGUAAGUUAGAGGUGAAAGCCCGGGGCUCAACUCCGGAAUUGCCUUUAAGACUGCAUCGCUAGAAUUGUGGAGAGGUAAGUGGAAUUCCGAGUGUAGAGGUGAAAUUCGUAGAUAUUGGGAAGAACACCGGUGGCGAAGGCGGCUCUCUGGACCGAGACGUGACGCGUGAGG